rnacentral:rRNA from 1 species
UACGUAGGGGGCGAGCGUUGUCCGGAGUUACUGGGCGUAAAGGGCGCGUAGGCGGCCUUCUAAGUCAGACGUGAAAUCCCCCGGCUUAACCUGGGAACUGCGUCUGAUACUGGAGGGCUUGAGUAUGGGAGAGGGAUGUAGAAUUCCAGGUGUAGCGGUGAAAUGCGUAGAUAUCAGGAAGAACACCAACGGCGAAGGCAGCUCGCUGGGACGGAACUGACGCUAAGGCGCGAAAGCGUGGGGAGCGAACAGG